AUACGGAGGGGGCAAGCGUUGUUCGGAAUUACUGGGCGUAAAGGGCGCGUAGGCGGUUGGGCGUGUCUGACGUGAAAGCCCUUGGCUUAACCAAGGAAGUGCGUCUUAUACUGCCCGACUCGAGUCCGGGAGAGGAGAGUGGAAUUCCCAGUGUAGCGGUGAAAUGCGUAGAUACUGGAGGAACACCGGUGGCGAAGGCGGCUCUCUGGACCGGUACUGACGCUGAGGCGCGAAAGCUAGGGGAGCAAACAGGAUUAGAAACCCCAGUAGUCC
rnacentral:rRNA from 1 species